CUACGGGUCGCUGCAGUGGGGAAUAUUGGACAAUGGGGGAAACCCUGAUCCAGCAAUGCCGCGUGUGUGAAGAAGGCCUUAGGGUUGUAAAGCACUUUCACCCGUGAAGAUGAUGACGGUAGCGGGAGAAGAAGCCCCGGCUAACUCCGUGCCAGCAGCCGCGGUAAUACGGAGGGGGCUAGCGUUGUUCGGAAUUACUGGGCGAAAGCGCGCGUAGGAGGCGCAUCGAGUUAGGCGUGAAAGGCCUGGGCUUAACCUGGGAACUGCGCUUAAUACUGGUGUGCUUGAGUCCGGAAGGGGGUGGCGGAAUUCCCAGUGUAGAGGGGAAAUUCGUAGAUAUUGGGAAGAACACCGGUGGCGAAGGCGGCCACCUGGUCCGGAACUGACGCUGAGGUGCGAAAGCGUGGGGAGCAAACAGGAUUAGAUACCCUAGUAGUC
rnacentral:rRNA from 1 species